rnacentral:rRNA from 1 species
UACGGAGGGGGCUAGCGUUGUUCGGAAUUACUGGGCGUAAAGCGCACGUAGGCGGCCAUUCAAGUCAGAGGUGAAAGCCCGGAGCUCAACUCCGGAAUUGCCUUUGAAACUAGGUGGCUUGAACGUCGGAGAGGUGAGUGGAAUUCCGAGUGUAGAGGUGAAAGUCGUAGAGAUGCGGGAGAACACCAGUGGCGAAGGCGGCUCACUGGACGACUGUUGACGCUGAGGUGCGAAAGCGUGGGGAGCAAACAGG